rnacentral:rRNA from 1 species
UACGUAGGGGGCAAGCGUUGUCCGGAAUCAUUGGGCGUAAAGAGCGCGUAGGCGGCCCAGUAAGUCCGCUCUGAAAGUCAGGGGCUCAACCCCUGGAUGCGGGUGGAUACUGCUGGGCUAGAGUCCGGAAGAGGUGAGUGGAAUUCCUGGUGUAGCGGUGAAAUGCGCAGAUAUCAGGAGGAACACCGGUGGCGAAGGCGGUUCUCUGGGAAUGUACUGACGCUGAGGAGCGAAAGUGUGGGGAGCGAACAGG